rnacentral:rRNA from 1 species
GAUGAACGCUGGCGGCGUGCCUAAUACAUGCAAGUCGAGCGAACAGACGAGGAUCUUGCUCCUCUGACGUGAGCGGCGGACGGGUGAGUAACACGUGGAUAACCUACCUAUAAGACUGGGAUAACUUCGGGAAACCGGAUCUAAUACCGGAUAAUAUAUUGAACCGCAGGGUUCAAUAGUGAAAGACGGUUUUGCUGUCACUUAUAGAUGGAUCCGCGCCGCAUUAGCUAGUUGGUAAGGUAACGGCUUACCAAGGCAACGAUGCGUAGCCGACCUGAGAGGGUGAUCGGCCACACUGGAACUGAGACACGGUCCAGACUCCUACGGGAGGCAGCAGUAGGGAAUCUUCCGCAAUGGGCGAAAGCCUGACGGAGCAACGCCGCGUGAGUGAUGAAGGUCUUCGGAUCGUAAAACUCUGUUAUUAGGGAAGAACAAAUGUGUAAGUAACUAUGCACGUCUUGACGGUACCUAAUCAGAAAGCCACGGCUAACUACGUG